rnacentral:rRNA from 1 species
UACGUAGGGGGCAAGCGUUGUCCGGAAUCAUUGGGCGUAAAGCGCGUGUAGGCGGCCAGAAAAGUCCGCUGUGAAAACUCGAGGCUCAACUUCGAGCUGUCGGUGGAAACUUUCUGGCUAGAGUCCGGAAGAGGAGAAUGGAAUUCCUGGUGUAGCGGGGAAAUGCGCAGAUAUCAGGAGGAACACCGGUGGCGAAGGCGGUUCUCUGGGCCUGUACUGACGCUGAGGAGCGAAAGCGUGGGGAGCGAACAGG